UAGGACCUUGUAAUAAGACAUCUAUCAAUCAAUCAAAUAUACGUUUUUACUCAUAUUCCAGCAUCUACUUUUCGACGACUUCGUCAUACCUUUUUUCCUUUUAUUAUGAGUUCUUAGGAAUUCGUCGACUUAAGCUCGGUGUAUUCUCGAGUUCCGCGUGAGUACCUCUUAGCCAUGACAUCCGGGCACAUCGCUGUUGUCAGGACUAAAGUAUUAGCCGAUAGUAAGGUAUUAGCCUUAUAGUAAGGUCAAAUCGGCUGGCACGCCUUAACGUUUGAAUCGGGUAUUAGCCCUUUGUGUUUGCAGAUCGAUUUUGCAUCAACAGGUAGACUACGAAGGAGAAGUGAUAAGGACUGAAGACAUACAGCUUGAACAGAACUGUCCUGAGGAGACCAUAGCACUGAGUCAGGUGUGGAGAGAGAAGAUAGUUAUACACGAAGAGAGGCGCCGCCGGAAUCACCGACUACGCCACCUAGCGAAUCCCAGGACGACUGAGAAAACAGAGAGUCCCGUUCGGAGGACAUAAAAAUACCGAACGCCUUGCCAAGAGGUAAACUUGGUAGUUACCCUUUCCUUUCAAUUAUUCAAUUAUAAUUUGCUUAGUUAAUCAGGUUCAUGCUAUCUUGAAAAGAAAAUAAAAAUGUUAAAAAAUAGUAAGCCCCAUGUGAGUAUGCUCAUAGCAUAAAACUCAUAAGUACAUUCACUGUGGUGGCAUAAAAAUAAAAUAAAUAAGUUUUCAUCUUACAAUAAAAUUAUAUAUAUAUAAAAAAUAAGUGUAUGAUCCUGCUAAAUAAAUAACAUUUAUUAAGGAAGCUCAACAUGACGAAGGCUAGAUAUUUAUGCUAACACUUAAUUAGUUCCACAAGAUUUGUUAUCUAUUUGAGCUCUACAGAAUUUAAGAAUCAAUAAGACUAGCAGACGGAGGACAUUCUAAUCGCUGUCAGAAUGCUGCUGACUUUCAAAUACACCUCUACCACCUGCUAGCUACAUCAAGAGAAAUUACGUCAAAAUUCAGCUUGGGGGAGAGCACCCCCAUUUAUCUCGCUAAGUAUUUCUACCUAUCUUUAUACUUAUAUUAUGUUAGAAUAUUAAAAUACAUAAACUAUGAAAAACCAAAUAAAUAUUUUGUGCUUAUAUAUAUCUUUUGCUUAGUAUGUUUAAUAAAUAAAUAAAGUGGCUAUGCUAAUCUGAAUCUUAAUAAUAAAACUCUAGCAUGGAUAUGAUGAAUAGUUGCUCUGCCUAAUUUGCAAUUUUGAUGUUCUCUCUCAAGUUUAGACAUAACUGUUAUAAUUUAAAUCUUACUCUAGACCUAAACUUGUGGGAUGAAAACUUGAUCUGAAGUCUAAGUUGUUAACGGAUACGAUAAGGGAAGGUUGAGCUGUUGUUUAUCUGUUCCUAGAGAUGCUAGAAUUCUGGAGAAUUUUAUCUUUGAAAAUCUUUGAAAUGUUGCAUGAUGAGUUCCUGUAUGAUGAGAGUUUAAAAUCCUAUCACAGCCAUAUGUACAUGCUUAUUAGACUAUGAACCAUACAUUUACUUUUUACUGCUUAUGAGCAUUGAGUGUGGUCAAGCUGUGUAGACCCUUAGGAACUUGUCAUGUGGUUAAAAUCAAGAUUCACUUGCACGUUCACUCAUACAUGCUACUUCUACUCCGGAAGUACCAUCCACAUACAUCCACUCAUUUCCAUCUCCAGAUUCACCCAAAAUUAUUCUACUCCUAAUCCGGGAGAGAAUAGUCAAAAACAUUUUCCUAUCCCUGUUAUUCCCUGUGAAAUAAAUGCUCCAAAUAUUUUGGUUACUACCACUUGCUAUAUUAUCUCAAGAGAUGAGUGCUCUGAAAAAAAGAGAAAAUAGAAGAAAAGAAAAAAAAAUAUAAACGAGGAAAUAAAAAGGGGCAAGUGCCCGGGAACUCGAAAGAAAGAAAAAGUGAGACGAGAGGUAAAAAUGGACAAGUGUCCGACAGUAGAAUUAGGGGUACAAGAUACCCACCUGAGAGGAAAGAAAAAGAAGAGCAUCUCAUUCUCCUCAUAAAGUUUCAAAAAGCAAGGAAGGUAUGUAUCCCCUCAAAAGAGCAAAAGUAGAAUUAGACUUUCAGCAUUGUUAUUACCAUCAUCACCAUACACCAUUCAUUCGCCACACAUGCACAUCUUGAUUUGGCUUAUUGAUUUGUUUCUUUGGAUCCAUGGUUUGACUAUACAAUAAAUGUCUUGUAAGUAUGUAUACUUUAUCUCCCACCUAUGAGCUCCAGAUAUUAAAGCCUUAUUAGAGUAGGGUGAGAGAGAAGGCAAUGUCACUAUGCCUUAUACCACAAAUACCACAUAUCUUGAGAGAAGGCAUAUACCAUCACUGCCUUGGUAAGGAUCCAGAAAUACCACAAAAGAGAGAUUUAGAGAGUCAUACAAGGAAUCUCUGAGUUUUAUUUGAAAAUCUGCAAAAACCCCAGAGCUAUAGCUGAUCAAGAAUAAGAGACAUGGCACUUGGCUAGACUGUUCUAUCUUUUAACUACUCAAGACAGAAGUGACGGUUAUAAGUCCCAUGGUGAAAGGUAAAGUAAGUAAGUUUUAAUUCUUAACAGUUUACUCUAACUCAGAGAUGAGAUCUUAUUUAAAAGCAUGUGUACCGUCAAAUUUUUAAGAUAUUGCAACAACUUCUGAUCCAUAGCUAAGUCUAUCCUUGCUCAGGGACGAGCAAGAGGUAAGCUUGGGGGAGUUUGUUGACGGUCCUUAAGUAUCAAAUUUAAUUAUCAAAUAAACAAAGAAAAGGAUCUAAAUGAAAUCAACAUCUAGACUUAGGGUUUUAUCUGACAGAAUUCCACGAGUUUUGGUGUUUGUCUAUUUCUGUAGGGGGUUAUCAGGAAAUAAGGAAGAAAGGCCCACAUGUCAGGAUUACAUAGAGAUAUCAACGCACCGCGCAAUUUUCUACCAUCUAGAAGACUCCAGAAGCCACGAGACCGAAGCGGAGGCGAAACGGGGCCAGGACCUGGGCGCCCGCCCACCUGCCGAGCCCAAUCAGGACUCUUUCUCUCGGGAGAUCUCCACCGACCUAUUGGAUCCAGAAUAACAUAGUACCACAUCGCCUACCGACCCAAAAACGCAUAGAAGGGGAGGACUAUAUAAGGAGACCCCCCUGGCCCCUG
rnacentral:lncRNA from 1 species